rnacentral:tRNA from 1 species
GCUCCGCUAGCUCAGCUGGUUAGAGCGUGUGGCUGUUAACCACAAGGUCGGUGGUUCGAACCCACCGCGGAGCG